GUCCUGUGCAGGUUUGUGGCAGACACGGUCGUCGUGACAUUUUCUGAUGGGAAGGCAGCGCUACAAGCUGUGGAACUGGACGGAACAGAGGUGCGUGGGCAUGUGGUACAGGUGUGGCUGGCGAGUCAGGACUGGCAGGGGCACCUGGAGCGGGAGAUGAGCCUGUGCAGUAUCGCUCAGAGCCCAUCUUCAUUCUUCAACGCUGCAGCCAACAGCCUGCUGGGAGAGGAGUUUGAAACACCACAGAUCAGCUUUGAGAUGGAGGGUGAUGUGGAUGAUCCUGCAGACAUCUUUGACAACGAUCUCGAGGCAGAACUUCCUGCUCCCCUGGCCCCUACAUCCCUCACCCCCUCCCCUUCCCCCACCCC